rnacentral:rRNA from 1 species
AAUAGAUACCCGGGUAGUCCACGCCGUAAACGAUGAAUGCUAGGUGUUAGGGGUUUCGAUACCCUUGGUGCCGAAGUUAACACAUUAAGCAUUCCGCCUGGGGGAGUACGGUCGCAAGACUGAAACUCAAAGGAAUUGACGGGGACCCGCACAAGCAGUGGAGUAUGUGGUUUAAUUCGAAGCAACGCGAAGAACCUUACCAGGUCUUGACAUCCCUCUGACCGCCGCAGAGAUGUGGCUUCCCUUCGGGGCAGAGGAGACAGGUGGUGCAUGGUUGUCGUCAGCUCGUGUCGUGAGAUGUUGGGUUAAGUCCCGCAACGAGCGCAACCCUUGAUCUUAGUUGCCAGCACUUCGGGUGGGCACUCUAAGAUGACUGCCGGUGACAAACCGGAGGAAGGUGGGGAUGACGUCAAAUCAUCAUGCCCCUUAUGACCUGGGCUACACACGUACUACAAUGGCCAGUACAACGGGAAGCGAAGCCGCGAGGUGGAGCCAAUCCUAUCAAAGCUGGUCUCAGUUCGGAUUGCAGG